rnacentral:lncRNA from 10 species
UAGCUCUGCAUCCAUCCUGCUGAGAACCACCUCCAUCACUCAGUAAAAUCCCCACGUUUACCAUCCUUCAAGUCCGUGUGACGCGAUUCUUCCUGGAUGCUGGAUAAGGGCCCAGGAAGGGAGAGAAAGAGUCGAUCAAGUGGCCAGCUGUGUCACUAGCUCAGGCCCCAGGCCAACUCACACAAGCUACCAGAAGAAAGACAUCUGCAAUUUUAAGAUGUUUCUUACAGGCAACUCUAACAGCAGGUAGAAGACAUGACACAGCAUGGAUGAAUUGUCUGCAUUGGUAUUGACCAAAGUCAGUGACACAAAGAACAGUGGAGCAACUGUGGAAGCCACUUGUGGAGAUGGCGAAACCCCACUCUCACCAAGGACCGCUCACAUGUAGACUGUUACAUGAAAGGAGACAGCAUUCAUCUUAUUUCAACCACUGUAUUUUAGGAGUCCUUUAUUCAG